rnacentral:rRNA from 1 species
AUCGAACGCUGGCGGCAGGCCUAACACAUGCAAGUCGAACGGUAACAGGGAUCAGCUUGCUGCUUCGCUGACGAGUGGCGGACGGGUGAGUAAUGUCUGGGAAACUGCCUGCUGGAGGGGGAUAACUACUGGAAACGGUAGCUAAUACCGCAUAACGUCGCAAGACCAAUGAGGGGGACCUUCGGGCCUCUUGUCAUCGGAUGUGCCCAGAUGAGAUUAGCUAGUAGGUGGGGUAACGGCUCACCUAGGCGACGAUCCCUAGCUGGUCUGAGAGGAUGACCAGCCACACUGGAACUGAGACACGGUCCAGACUCCUACGGGAGGCAGCAGUGGGGAAUAUUGCACAAUGGGCGAAAGCCUGAUGCAGCCAUGCCGCGUGUAUGAAGAAGGCCUUCGGGUUGUAAAGUACUUUCAGCGGGAGGGAAGGAAGUAAAGUUAAUACCUUUGCACAUUGACGGUACCCGCAGAAGAAGCACCGGCUAACUCCGUG